UCCCCUGUAGCUCAGCUGGUAGAGCAUCUGGCUGUUAACCAGAGUGUCCGAGGUUCGAAUCCUCGCGGGGGAGCCA
rnacentral:tRNA from 1 species